GAUGAACGCUAGCGGCAGGCUUAACACAUGCAAGUCGAGGGGUAACAGGGUAGCUUGCUACUGCUGACGACCGGCGCACGGGUGCGUAACGCGUAUAGAACCUACCUUUAACAAAGGGAUAGCCCGAAGAAAUUUGGAUUAAUACCUUAUAGUAUUACUAACUGGCAUCAGUUUGGUGAUUAAAGAUUUAUCGGUUAAAGAUGGCUAUGCGUUCUAUUAGCUAGUUGGUGAAGUAACGGUUCACCAAGGCUACGAUAGAUAGGGGUCCUGAGAGGGAGAUCCCCCACACUGGUACUGAGACACGGACCAGACUCCUACGGGAGGCAGCAGUGAGGAAUAUUGGACAAUGGAGGCAACUCUGAUCCAGCCAUGCCGCGUGUAGGAAGACUGCCUUAUGGGUUGUAAACUACUUUUAUAUAGGAAGAAACGACAUUACGUGUAAUGUUUUGACGGUACUAUACGAAUAAGGAUCGGCUAACUCCG
rnacentral:rRNA from 1 species